UCCCUGGCAGUCCAGGGGUGAGGACUCAGUGCUUUCACUGCUGUGACCUCGGUUCAAUUCCUGGUCAAGGAA
rfam:Ovis aries breed Texel chromosome 7, whole genome shotgun sequence.